rnacentral:rRNA from 1 species
AUUGAACGCUGGCGGCAUGCCUUACACAUGCAAGUCGAACGGCAGCGGGGGAGAAGCUUGCUUUUCCUGCCGGCGAGUGGCGAACGGGUGAGUAAUACAUCGGAACGUGCCCUGUAGUGGGGGAUAACUAGUCGAAAGAUUAGCUAAUACCGCAUACGACCUGAGGGUGAAAGUGGGGGACCGCAAGGCCUCCAGCUAUCAGAGCGGCCGAUGUCUGAUUAGCUAGUUGGCGGGGUAAAGGCCUACCAAGGCGACGAUCAGUAGCUGGUCUGAGAGGACGAUCAGCCACACUGGGACUGAGACACGGCCCAGACUCCUACGGGAGGCAGCAGUGGGGAAUUUUGGACAAUGGGCGAAAGCCUGAUCCAGCAAUGCCGCGUGUGUGAAGAAGGCCUUCGGGUUGUAAAGCACUUUUGUCCGGAAAGAAAUGGCUCUGGUUAAUACCUGGGGUCGAUGACGGUACCGGAAGAAUAAGGACCGGCUAACUACGUGCCAGCCGCCGCGGUAA